GCAAUAGCAGAUUGCAUUUAAUUUAAUGUAGUUACUACUUGGUAGUUUAAAUUUCUAGGUAGAAUUAUGAUGAUGACAUUAUCUAUCUAUUAGUCUUGACCAAAAUUACGUGCCAGCAGUCGCGGUAAUACGUAGAAGACANAGUGUUAUUCAUCUUUAUUAGGUUUAAAGAGUACCAAGACGGUUAAUAAAGCCCAAAAUAAAUGAAUACGGGGGACACAUUAACUAGAGUUAUAUGAAAGGAAGCUCUAAGGUACUGUUGAGUGUAGAGAUGAAAUUUUCUGAUACCAGAUGAGUGGCACAGAUUUAUGCGAAGGCAUCUUCUUAUGUAAUAACUGACGUUGUAGGACGAAGGCUUAGAAAGUGAACAGGAUUAGGUACCCCAGUAACCUUGGCAGAAAAUGAUGAAUGUCAUAGGCUGAUUACACUAAGGUUAAUUUAUUUAACAACUUAAGGGCUAUAAGCUCGGGUUGUGUAAUUAAUCAGUCUAUAAAUGAAAGUGUAAGCAUUCCACCUCAAGAGUAAUUUGGCAACAUUGGAACUGAAAUCAUUAGACCGUUUCUGAAACCAGUAGUGAAGUAUGUUGUUUAAUUAGAUGAUACACAAAAACCUUACCACAACUUGAAUAUAUAUAAAAUAUAUUUACAAGCGCUGCACGGCUGUCUACAGUUAAUGUCGUGAGACUAUGGUUAACUCCUUUAAAUUGACGAAAACCCUAAUUUUAUUUAUAAAUAUAAUUAACAUUGUUAUAUUUUGUGUUUNAAAAGGGAAUAUGACAAGUCAUCAU
rnacentral:rRNA from 1 species